GUUUGAUCCUGGCUCAGAGUGAACGCUGGCGGCGUGCCUAAUACAUGCAAGUCGAACGAUGAAGUCCUAGCUUGCUAGGAUGGAUUAGUGGCGCACGGGUGAGUAAUAUAUAGUUAAUCUGCCCUACACAGAGGAACAACAGUUGGAAACGACUGCUAAUACCUCAUACUCCUAUUUGACAUAAGUUAAAUAGGGAAAGUCUUUUCGGUGUAGGAUGAGACUAUAUCGUAUCAGCUAGUUGGUAAGGUAAUGGCUUACCAAGGCUAUGACGCGUAACUGGUCUGAGAGGAUGAUCAGUCACAUUGGAACUGAGACACGGUCCAAACUCCUACGGGAGGCAGCAGUAAGGAAUAUUGCGCAAUGGGGGAAACCCUGACGCAGCAACGCCGCGUGGAGGAUGACACUUUUCGGAGCGUAAACUCCUUUUAUCAGGAAAGAAUAAUGACGGUACCUGAUGAAUAAGCACCGGCUAACUCCGUGCCAGCAGCCGCGGUAAUACGGGGGGUGCAAGCGUUACUCGGAAUCACUGGGCGUAAAGGACGCGUAGGCGGAUUAUCAAGUCUUUUGUGAAAUCUAGUGGCUUAACCACUAAACUGCUUAGGAAACUGAUAGUCUAGAGUAGGGGAGAGGUAGAUGGAAUUCUUGGUGUAGGGGUAAAAUCCGUAGAGAUCAAGAAGAAUACCCAUUGCGAAAGCGAUCUGCUGGAACCUAACUGACGCUGAGGCGUGAAAGCGUGGGUAGCAAACAGGAUUAGAUACCCUGGUAGUCCACGCCCUAAACGAUGUAUACUAGUUGUUGCUUUGCUAGUCAAGGCAGUAAUGCAGCUAACGCAUUAAGUAUACCGCCUGGGGAGUACGGUCGCAAGAUUAAAACUCAAAGGAAUAGACGGGGACCCGCACAAGCGGUGGAGCAUGUGGUUUAAUUCGAAGAUACGCGAAGAACCUUACCUGGACUUGACAUCCUAAAAACAUCUAAGAGAUUAGAAAGUGCUAGUUUACUAGAAUUUAGUGACAGGUGCUGCACGGCUGUCGUCAGCUCGUGUCGUGAGAUGUUGGGUUAAGUCCCGCAACGAGCGCAACC
rnacentral:rRNA from 1 species